CGACCCACUCUCUUUCUCUCUCGUUUUCUCUCCCAAUGUCCCGUCUUGUUUUUACUGCCGUCGGGCUGGAGACGGUUGGCGCAUGCGCUCACGAAGUUUGGAACGAAUCGGUGCAACGACCUUAUCGCACCCCCAGGAUGAGUCAUAUCGUCUCGACAUCCGGCAGUAUAAGAUAUUUCUUGAUUCAAACUCACAAGGGUCGGGACUGAGAGGCGGACGUGUGGUCUUAACUAUUUGACAUUGAGAUAACAAUAUAAUGCGUUAUCUUUGCAUAUAGACUCUAGCACGUGUGUGCGUCAUUUGGUGACUCGUCAUCGCCACUUUAGUUUCGCUUAAAUGCUAAUAAACGGUUGCUGGUGUUUGUUGUAGCAGCAAAACUCGAAAAUCAACAUUGAAUAGAAUUUAUUUGUCAUAAAGAAAAAAAGAAAAGCGUUUUCUUUGUGAGAGGAGAGAGAUGUAGAGAGGUCAAUGAUGAUGAGGCUCCUAAUAUAGUUAAACAAACAUGUUCGAACCAUUAAUGUAACAAUUGCGUGA